rnacentral:rRNA from 1 species
UAAGCAUAUCAAUAAGCGGAGGAAGAGAAACUAACGAGGAUUCCCCCAGUAACGGCGAGCGAAGUGGGAACAGCUCGAGCCUGAAAUCCCUGGCAGCUGCUGCCAGAGAAUUGUGGCCGGGAGAGGCAGCGGUGCCCCGACUGUUGCUGUCGAAGUUGACCUGGAAAGGCACGCCAGAGAGGGUGAGAGCCCCGUGCGCGACACCGACGGAAAGGGCCGCUACUGUCUUCGGAGAGUCGGGUUGUUUGGGAAUGCAGCCCAAAGUGGGUGGUAAACUCCAUCUAAAGCUAAAUACUGGCACGAGACCGAUAGCGAACAAGUACCAUGAGGGAAAGGUGAAAAGUACUUUGAAAAGAGAGUCAAAAAGACCGCGAAACCGUU